rnacentral:rRNA from 1 species
UACGAAGGGUGCAAGCGUUACUCGGAAUUACUGGGCGUAAAGCGUGCGUAGGUGGUUUGUUAAGUCUGUUGUGAAAGCCCCGGGCUCAACCUGGGAAUGGCAUUGGAUACUGGCUCGCUAGAGUGCGGUAGAGGGUGGUGGAAUUCCCGGUGUAGCAGUGAAAUGCGUAGAGAUCGGGAGGAACAUCUGUGGCGAAGGCGGCCACCUGGACCAACACUGACACUGAGGCACGAAAGCGUGGGGAGCAAACAGG